UGGGGAAUUUUGGACAAUGGGGGAAACCCUGAUCCAGCCAUCCCGCGUGUGCGAUGAAGGCCUUCGGGUUGUAAAGCACUUUUGGCAGGGAAGAAACGGCACCGGCUAAUACCGGGUGUCACUGACGGUACCUGCAGAAUAAGCACCGGCUAACUACGUG
rnacentral:rRNA from 1 species